GAUGAACGCUGGCGGCGUGCUUAACACAUGCAAGUCGAACGAUGAAGCCCAGCUUGCUGGGUGGAUUAGUGGCGAACGGGUGAGUAACACGUGAGUAACCUGCCCUUAACUCUGGGAUAAGCCUGGGAAACUGGGUCUAAUACCGGAUAGGAGCGUCCACCGCAUGGUGGGUGUUGGAAAGAUUUAUCGGUUUUGGAUGGACUCGCGGCCUAUCAGCUUGUUGGUGAGGUAAUGGCUCACCAAGGCGACGACGGGUAGCCGGCCUGGGAGGGGGGCCGGCCACACUGGGACUGAGAGACGGCCCAGACGCGUACGGGAGGCAGCAGGGGGGAAUAUUGCACAAUGGGCGCAAGCCUGAUGCAGCGACGCCGCGUGAGGGAUGACGGCCUUCGGGUUGUAAACCUCUUUCAGUAGGGAAGAAGCGAAAGUGACGGUACCUGCAGAAGAAGCACCGGCUAACUACGUG
rnacentral:rRNA from 1 species